rnacentral:rRNA from 1 species
UACGUAGGGGGCAAGCGUUGUCCGGAAUCAUUGGGCGUAAAGAGCGUGUAGGCGGCCAGAUAAGUCCGCUGUGAAAUCUCGAGGCUCAACUUCGAGCUGUCGGUGGAAACUGUCUGGCUAGAGUCCGGAAGAGGAGAAUGGAAUUCCUGGUGUAGCGGUGAAAUGCGCAGAUAUCAGGAGGAACACCGGUGGCGAAGGCGGUUCUCUGGGCAUGUCCUGACGCUGAGGAGCGAAAGUGUGGGGAGCGAACAGG